UACGAAGGGGGCUAGCGUUGUUCGGAAUCACUGGGCGUAAAGCGCACGUAGGCGGCUUCUUAAGUCGGUGGUGAAAUCCUGGAGCUCAACUCCAGAACUGCCUUCGAUACUGGAGAGCUUGAGUCCGGGAGAGGUGAGUGGAACUGCGAGUGUAGAGGUGAAAUUCGUAGAGUAUUCGCAAGAACACCAGUGGCGAAGGCG
rnacentral:rRNA from 1 species